rnacentral:rRNA from 1 species
UACGUAGGGUGCAAGCGUUAAUCGGAAUUACUGGGCGUAAAGCGUGCGCAGGCGGCUUUGCAAGUCAGAUGUGAAAUCCCCGGGCUUAACCUGGGAACUGCAUUUGUGACUGCAUGGCUGGAGUGCGGCAGAGGGGGAUGGAAUUCCGUGUGUAGCAGUGAAAUGCGUAGAUAUGCGGAGGAACACCGAUGGCGAAGGCAAUCCCCUGGGCCUGCACUGACGCUCAUGCACGAAAGCGUGGGGAGCAAACAGG